AUGGUAUUUGGCAAUAUUGGUUCUUGGGCUGCCCAAUUGAUCACUGAAGCUGGUGGCAAGGUGGUCUCCAUCAGAGAUGUCACAGGGGCUGUCAAGAACUCCAAUGGCAUUGACAUAGCCAAGCUGAUGAAGCACUCGGCAGAGAACCGCGGGAUCAAGGGCUUUGACGGAGGCGACGCCGUCGACCCGACCUUGCUGCUCACGGAAGAGUGCGACGUGCUCAUCCCGGCAGCUCUGGGAGGAGUCAUAAACAAGGACAAUGCUGAUGCCAUCAAAGCAAAGUACAUCAUCGAGGCUGUUAACCACCCAACAGACCCCGAGGCCACGAGAUUCGGGCAAAGAAGGGCAUGCUGA
rnacentral:rRNA from 1 species